AGAGUUUGAUCAUGGCUCAGAGUGAACGCUGGCGGCGUGCUUAACACAUGCAAGUCGAACGAGAACGGAUUUUAGCUUGCUAAAAUUGUCAGCUAAGUGGCGCACGGGUGAGUAAUAUAUAGGUAACGUGCCUUGAAGAAGGGGAUAACAGAUGGAAACGCCUGCUAAUACCCUAUAUGCCUUUAUCACAGAAGUGAGCAAGGGAAAUAUUUAUAGCUUCAAGAUCGGCCUGUACAGUAUCAGUUAGUUGGUGGGGUAAUGGCUUACCAAGACAAUGACGCUUAACUGGUUUGAGAGGAUGAUCAGUCACACUGGAACUGAGACACGGUCCAGACUCCUACGGGAGGCAGCAGUGGGGAAUAUUGCACAAUGGGGGAAACCCUGAUGCAGCAACGCCGCGUGGAGGAUGACACAUUUCGGUGCGUAAACUCCUUUUAUAUAAGAAGAUAAUGACGGUAUUAUAUGAAUAAGCUCCGGCUAACUCCGUGCCAGCAGCCGCGGUAAUACGGGGGGAGCAAGCGUUACUCGGAAUCACUGGGCGUAAAGAGCAUGUAGGCUGGUAGAUAAGUUGGAAGUGAAAUCCUAUGGCUUAACCAUAGAACUGCUUCCAAAACUGUCUACCUAGAAUAUGGGAGAGGUAGAUGGAAUUUCUGGUGUAGGGGUAAAAUCCGUAGAGAUCAGAAGGAAUACCGAUUGCGAA
rnacentral:rRNA from 1 species